CGAAAGCCUGAUGCAGCAACGCCGCGUGAGCGAUGAAGGCCUUCGGGUUGUAAAGCUCUGUCUUCGCUGACGAUAAUGACGGUAAGCGAGGAGGAAGCCACGGCUAACUACGUGCCAGCAGCCGCGGUAAUACGUAGGUGGCAAGCGUUGUCCGGAAUUACUGGGCGUAAAGAAUGCGUAGGCGGCUUUUUAAGUGGGAUGUGAAAUCCCUGGGCUCAACCCAGGAACUGCAUUCCAAACUGGAGAGCUAGAGUGUGGGAGAGGAAAAUGGUAUUCCCAGUGUAGCGGUGAAAUGCGUAGAGAUUGGGAGGAACACCAGUAGCGAAGGCGAUUUUCUGGAACAUAACUGACGCUGAGGCAUGAAAGCGUGGGGAGCAAACAGGAUUAGAUACCCUGGUAGUCCACGCCGUAAACGAUGAGUACUAGGUGUAGGGGGUCCAACCUCUGUGCCGCAGUUAACACAUUAAGUACUCCGCCUGGGAAGUACGAUCGCAAGAUUA
rnacentral:rRNA from 1 species